rnacentral:rRNA from 1 species
CGCGGCCUAUCAGCUUGUUGGUGGGGUAACGGCUCACCAAGGCAUCGACGGGUAGCUGGUCUGAGAGGACGAUCAGCCACACUGGGACUGAGACACGGCCCAGACUCCUAGGGGAGGCAGCAGUAGGGAAUCUUGCACAAUGGGCGAAAGCCUGAUGCAGCGACGCCGCGUGGGGGAUGAAGGCCUUCGGGUUGUAAACCCCUUUCAGUAGGGACGAAAAUGACGGUACCUACAGAAGAAGCUCCGGCCAACUACGUGCCAGCAGCCGCGGUAACACGUAGGGAGCGAGCGUUGUCCGGAUUUAUUGGGCGUAAAGAGCUCGUAGGUGGUUCAGUAAGUCGGAUGUGAAAACUCAGGGCUCAACCCUGAGACGCCAUCCGAUACUGCUGUGACUUGAGUUCGGUAGAGGAGUGUGGAAUUCCUGGUGUAGCGGUGAAAUGCGCAGAUAUCAGGAGGAACACCAACAGCGAAGGCAGCACUCUGGGCCGACACUGACACUGAGGAGCGAAAGCGUGGGGAGCAAACAGGAUUAGAUACCCUGGUAGUCCACGCCGUAAACGUUGGGCACUAGGUGCGGGGAUUUAUCAACGAUCUCCGCGCCGUCGCUAACGCAUUAAGUGCCCCGCCUGGGGAGUACGG